rnacentral:rRNA from 1 species
UACGUAGGGUGCGAGCUUUAAUCGGAAUUACUGGGCGUAAAGUGUGCGCAGGCGGCCGCGCAAGUCGAGUGUGAAAGCCCCGAGCUUAACUUGGGAAUUGCGCUCGAAACUACGUGGCUGGAGUGUGGCAGAGGAAGGUGGAAUUCCAGGUGUAGCGGUGAAAUGCGUAGAGAUCUGGAGGAACACCGAUGGCGAAGGCAGCCUUCUGGGCCAACACUGACGCUCAUGCACGAAAGCGUGGGGAGCAAACAGG